UACGUAGGGUCCGAGCGUUGUCCGGAAUUACUGGGCGUAAAGAGCUCGUAGGUGGUUUGUCGCGUUGUUCGUGAAAACUCACAGCUUAACUGUGGGCGUGCGGGCGAUACGGGCAGACUAGAGUACUGCAGGGGAGACUGGAAUUCCUGGUGUAGCGGUGGAAUGCGCAGAUAUCAGGAGGAACACCGGUGGCGAAGGCGGGUCUCUGGGCAGUAACUGACGCUGAGGAGCGAAAGCUAGGGGAGCAAACGGG
rnacentral:rRNA from 1 species